AAUAAUGAAUGUCUGUGUCUAGAUAUAAGGACUUAAGCAAUAGGAGAGAGCCUGGGCGGGACUGCUUUAGCUUACUAGGAGAGAAGAGAUCCCUUC